rnacentral:rRNA from 1 species
GAUGAACGCUGGCGGCAUGCCUAAUACAUGCAAGUCGAGCGAACAGACGAGGAGCUUGCUCCUUUGACGUUAGCGGCGGACGGGUGAGUAACACGUAGGUAACCUACCUAUAAGACUGGGAUAACUUCGGGAAACCGGAGCUAAUACCGGAUAAUAUUUCGAACCGCAUGGUUCGAUAGUGAAAGAUGGCUUUGCUAUCACUUAUAGAUGGACCUGCGCCGUAUUAGCUAGUUGGUAAGGUAACGGCUUACCAAGGCAACGAUACGUAGCCGACCUGAGAGGGUGAUCGGCCACACUGGAACUGAGACACGGUCCAGACUCCUACGGGAGGCAGCAGUAGGGAAUCUUCCGCAAUGGGCGAAAGCCUGACGGAGCAACGCCGCGUGAGUGAUGAAGGUCUUCGGAUCGUAAAACUCUGUUAUUAGGGAAGAACAAACGUGUAAGUAACUGUGCACGUCUUGACGGUACCUAAUCAGAAAGCCACGGCUAACUACGUG